rnacentral:rRNA from 1 species
UGGGGAAUAUUGGACAAUGGGCGAAAGCCUGAUCCAGCCAUGCCGCGUGUGUGAAGAAGGUCUUCGGAUUGUAAAGCACUUUAAGUUGGGAGGAAGGGCAGUAAGCGAAUACCUUGCUGUUUUGACGUUACCGACAGAAUAAGCACCGGCUAACUCUGUGCCAGCAGCCGCGGUAAUACAGAGGGUGCAAGCGUUAAUCGGAAUUACUGGGCGUAAAGCGCGCGUAGGUGGUUCGUUAAGUUGAAUGUGAAAGCCCCGGGCUCAACCUGGGAACUGCAUCCAAAACUGGCGAGCUAGAGUAGGGCAGAGGGUGGUGGAAUUUCCUGUGUAGCGGUGAAAUGCGUAGAUAUAGGAAGGAACACCAGUGGCGAAGGCGACCAACUGGGCUCAUACUGACACUGAGGUGCGAAAGCGUGGGGAGCAAACAGG